GGCCGGAUAGCUCAGAUGGUUAGACCGUCUGGAAAGCAACCAGAAGGUCCUUGGUUCAAACCCUUGUCUGGCCA
rnacentral:tRNA from 1 species